rnacentral:rRNA from 1 species
GGACACUCUAUAAGGAGUUACAAAGGACGACAUUAGACGAAUCAUCUGGAAAGAUGAAUCAAAGAAGGUAAUAAUCCUGUAGUCGAAAAUGUUGUCUCUCUUGAGUGGAUCCUGAGUACGACGGAGCACGUGAAAUUCCGUCGGAAUCUGGGAGGACCAUCUCCUAAGGCUAAAUACUCUCUAGUGACCGAUAGUGAACCAGUACCGUGAGGGAAAGGUGAAAAGCACCCCGGAAGGGGAGUGAAAUAGAACCUGAAACCUGUCUCUU